ensembl:lincRNA
GAUAAGAUUCCUAUGUUCUGGGGGUACAAAGGGAAAUUCCAAUGCUCCAGGCCUACAGAGGGACACAUAGCAGGAAUUCUUCAGGGAAGCAACAUCUCCUCUAGAGACCCCCAGAGUGUUGUAUUUUCAGAUUCUUCCUCAUAAAGAAUUUGCUGAUGUACCAUUAGCUGCAUAUAAUGUAUCAGACAAGGACAGAACCUGAUGGAUUAGCAACUUGGUCUGAACACUGGGAUGCUGAAUGGCAGAUUAUGGCCUGGAACUCCUCCACUGAAGGUAUGUGACAUUGCAUUAUUGUUAAACCGACUCCUCACUCCCACCACUACAGGCUUAUUUGGAUGGUGUUUUUCUACAAAAUUUUGCACUGUUUCCCACAUUUUACGCAUCUGCCUAAUCUCAUUUGAAGUGAGGGAUUCCUCUGCCUUUUUCUCCUCCUCCUCUGCAGGUAAGUCCUCCUCCAUAACCUCUCGCUGCUGGGCGAGAAUCACCCACAAUCCCACAGUGACAGAGAAAGAGAAGACGCAUUGGCUCACUUGUGAUCAUGUGACAUCCAGCAUCACAUACUACUCAUAUUGUGAGAUAUCGCUCAUUUAUCAAGUUAAAAUUUAUUAGAAACGUUUGCUUGUCUUGGGGAACACUUGCAGAACAGGUGACUCACAAUCCAUGGUUUUACUGUAUUUUUUAAGCUGUGCAACAAAAGUAUCUGUUGGCUUUUUUAUACUGUACUUCACAAUCUUGUCUGCUUUCUGCUGCUAUAAGUGAAUACCACAGACUGGGUAAUUUAUGAAAAUAAAGGAUUUGGAGAGCAUGGUUCUGCAGUUCUGUGAAGUUCAAAAUCUGGUGGCUGCACCUAGUGAGGUCCUUUGGCUGGUAGGGAAGCAAAUGUAUACCAGAUGUGCUAACAACUGGAAGUACUUGGGAAUCAAUUGUUCUCCUGUUAUUUAUUAUUCAGGCAAUGGACAUCCAUUAAACACCAGGUACCUACCAGACACUGUGUUAGUACCUAAGGAGAAAUUGAUGAAGGUGGCUUCCAUAAGCAGACUAUCAUUUCCUUUUCAAACAGAGGUAGUAGGAUGGCUUGCCUGAACUUAGAAGCUGCCUGCAAACAAUUCAACUUCUUAGGAUUCUUUUCCUAGAAGUCAGAGCUACUUGAGGAGAUCACAGGGAAAGGUGACUUUGAGGACACAGAGAAAUGGGGAUGACUACUCCAAAAUAUGAAGAGAGAGGAAGCAGCAGUCUCAAAGAGAACUUGAAUCUGGCUCCCUGGAAGCACCUACAGGUUGGCAGUGGCUUGGUGCUGGGCUACACCCAGAAGGGUGCACUUUUAUACUGGGGCUCACUAUCUUGGAAAAGAUGCUGUACUCAUACGGCAGAAAAAUAGUGGCACCACCCACCUAGGCACGGCGAGGUCCAUUUGCAUGCACACACAUCUGUGUCCCCAAAGUUCCUCCAGAAUAUUUAUGGAAGGAAAGCAUCAUGCAAAGAGAGUUUUACGACUCUUCCUCCCCAGCACACUCUUUAUGCUGCCAGUCCUCAGCCUUUCCUAUGUACACGUGAUUGGCUGUCUCCAAUUAGACACAUGUUGAAAUGCACAGGCAUGAUCUUGAAUUGCUACAUGUGUGUUGGGAGCUGGGAGAAAUCAUUUAACCCCCAGAGAGGAGGCUGAACUCUGAUGAUGUACAGGACGGUCUGGGCAGACUGUUACAUUGGUGGGAGUCAGUGAACCAUACGGGUCCCAUUUUUGAGCCCUUUUGUAGACCCUUCUUCUUAAAUUUGGCUAAAGCUUUAACCUGUCUUGACCCAUAGCAUUCAGUAGAAGUGACACGGUGCCAUUUCGAAGUUUUAAAAAGUCCUAGAUAGUGCUGGUUUCUUUGCUCUGGAGGAAGCCAGGAUGCCACACAGAAAGACCACCCACCUCGAAACUACCAUGUGUAAGAAGCUCAUUCUGGUCACACUGGAGAAGUCACAUGGAAGAGAGAGGAAGGGCUGGCCAACAGCUCUGCUGAACGUUUACCCAAAAGCCAGCACCAGCCAGCUCUCCGUGUCAGUCAUGGUCAGUCAAGCAGAACCUCCAGCCAGUCACGCUGUCCCAGUGCUACCUGCUCAGCCCUGCCCAAAUUACAGACCCCUGAGCAAGUGAGUAAGACAGUCAUUUGCUUAACC